GUUUGUGUUGUAUGGUGGUUUGAGCAUUGGAUUACAACUCUAGAGGCCAGGGUUCAAAUCCCCACUUAGCCA